GGCCCGAGCGAGGGCUCGGAGAGCUCAGGGCGGCGACGACCACGGCGUUGAUAUCGGUGGUAACAACGGCCUCAGCAGGCGGGGAAGAUGAAAGGUAGCCGGAUCGAGCUGGGAGAUGUGACACCACACAAUAUUAAACAGCGGAAGAGAUUAAACCAGGUCAUCUUUCCAGUCAGCUACAAUGACAAGUUCUACAAGGAUGUGCUGGAGGUUGGCGAACUAGCAAAGCUUGCCUAUUUCAAUGAUAUCGCAGUGGGUGCGUGUGCUGUAGGGUGGAUCAUUCACAGAAUCAGAAGAGACUUUACAUCAUGACACUAGGAUGUCUGGCACCAUACCGAAGGCUAGGAAUUGGAACUAAAAUGUUAAAUCACGUCUUAAACAUCUGUGAGAAAGAUGGCACUUUUGACAACAUCUAUCUGCAUGUCCAGAUCAGCAAUGAGUGUGCAAUUGACUUCUACAGAAAGUUUGGCUUUGAGAUUAUUGAGACAAAGAAGAACUACUAUAAGAGGGUAGAGCCCGCAGAUGCUCAUGUGCUGCAGAAAAACCUCAAAGUCCCUUCUGGCCAGAACGCAGAUGUGCAAAAGACAGACAACUGAACAAAUUACAGAUGAACCUUCUUGCACUUGCUUGUCGCCAAAUAAGAGAGAGGCCCAUUGAUUCCCCGCCGCCUUCCUUUAAAACUUUCCCCUUCCUUGUUCUUACUUCUCCUCCUUUCAAAACUUGCUUCCCUUUCCUCUAAAAGUGUUAAACUUUUAAGGACGUAUUAAUCAUGUUUGGAUUGUUGUAGUUUUCUUAUUUUUGUGAGGUGGUUUGAUUGUAGGAAGGAGAAGGUAUAGAUCGGUUUAGUUUCACAGUUAAGGUAUAUAUGGUCCCAAAAAUCUGAGUGUCAAUUUCCAUUUUUUUUUAAUGUCCUGCUUUCACAUUGAAAGGCAGAGCCUACAAAAUAUUGUAUUAUUUCAAAGGACAAAAAGAAGCAGCAGCAAUAUCUUGUUCUCUAACUCUUAGACAAGUUUAGUGUGUUUGUGGUCCUUUGGGUUUUUAAAAGAUUUUGUGGGAUACUAAUCCCUGUACAUUGCCUUCAAUCCACCUUUUGUUCUUCUGAGUAUUAUCUCAGGAGUUGGGCCAUUGUUAUCCUUGUAAGAAAUACUAAGCUUAUUUUGUUCUGUUAAGCAAUUAUUUCUUCCUUCUUUGCUGGUGGCUGAAGGUGGGUGGGACAGUUUGAAUUGGUAGUAUUAGACUUUGGUCUCAGUAUGUGAGUUAAACUGCUUUUUGCUAAUGAGUGGGCUGUUGGUUAGCAGGUUUGUUUUUCCUGCUGUUGAUUGUUACUAGUGGCAUUAUCUUUUAGCAUAUGGGCUGGUGAGAUUAAUUUUUUUCUUUAAUAUCCCAGCUAGAGAUACAGCCUUUAACUGACCUAAAGAGGUUUGUUGUGAUCUGCUUUUUUUCUCCUGUUGUUUUUCUUCAGUAAACCCACAGUAGUUGGUCAGACCUUAAAUAUGGAGUUGAUGUCCUUUAUAGGUCAGUGCCCUUAAAUAAACCUGAAGUAGGUAUUGUCUCCUGGACAUACAAAAAAAUACCUAAACAGAAGCUUAGAAGGAUUUGUGGCACAAUAAAUGCAUUUAAUGUCAGCUAACGCAGACUGUUAGAAGUGUGGCCACUGAGCAUUUGAUUUUAGAGGAAAGAAUAUCUAGACAGUAUUUUUGAGAAUAACAUAGCUGUGCUAUUGCAUAUCUGUUGGAGAACAUCCCAGAUUUGCUUACAUUCUGUGCCUGUGAUACUGAGUUUAAGGAUUUGGGGGAGGGGGAAUUAUUAAACACAUUGCUUCUGUUCUUGGGAAAAGUAGAAGUCUAGAAGUGUUAAUAACGCGAAUGUCACUGUGACCUCCUGUACUGACAGGACUGGUUUAUGCCAGAUCAUUUUCUGGCACUUAGGGAGUGGCUUUGACAGGUCAGUAACUUUCUGUAAGAUAGAAGACCUCUAAAUUUUCAGGCUUUCCUCCAUAAUCCCAUCUCCAAUAUUCAAAAUUUUCUACAUUGCCAAUACCAGUGGCUUAAGAAAUGUUUUCAUUAGACUUAAAACGUUGCACAGAGCUUGAAUUUUCUGUCAUUUGACUUUAAAAAGAAGGCUGAUUCAUAACAUUUAUCUUCUUGUGUAAAUUCUGGCAUAAAAGUUUCAUCUCUUUAAAUACAUUGAAUGACAAAAUUAUUUUACACAAUGUUUAUGCACAUCUUAUAAUCUUAAGUUCUUAUUUGAGAAUGUGAAAAUGCAAGGUACAAUAGACUUCAACAGUCUUAGUUGAGUGCCAAGAAUAAUACAGAAAAAGAAGAUAGUUGAUGAGUGAGUUCAUAGAGUUCUAAUCUUAAGAUAGUAAAAAUGUAGAAAGACCUUGCUGGUUUCUUGGUUAUCAGUUUCUUAAGCAGUCCAAAUCUAAGCUUAGAAGAAAAGUUUAGCAUUGAGCACCUUUACCUUCAUGGAUAAGCUUCAGCUUGCUCUUGCCAAGAGAAGAGUGCUUGAGUUACAGAAGGCAAGAUUAGUUUGAAGAAUUCAGUCUUUUUGUAAACUUCAGAU